CGUGUAGGCGGCAGGCCAAGUCUGGGGUGAAAUCGCUCGGCUUAACUGGGCGGGGUCCCUGGAAACUGGUCAGCUGGAGGACGGUAGAGGUGAGUGGAAUUCCCGGUGUAGUGGUGAAAUGCGUAGAGAUCGGGAGGAACACCCGUGGCGAAGGCGGCUCACUGGGCCGGUCCUGACGCUGAGACGCGAAGGCGUGGGGAGCGAACG
rnacentral:rRNA from 1 species